CCGCUGCCGCCCAGGGACCCAACGCGCCGCCGCUCCUCUGAUUCUGCUCCCCGACUCUGCUUGCAAUUCUUCCGCCGACACCAAUGGAAUUGAGGCUUCGCCAAGGAACAAGACUGGUAACUAGCGCAAAGGAGACUAUGUCGAGAGGUGGCACUGCUAGACUUGCUGAUGUGUAGUUAUGGCAUAAAAAAGAUGAAAAAAUGGUAUCUUCUAUGAUUCCAUAAGGUGCACGUAGCAAAUCUUCCCAUGUGGAUCAGUACAACUUAUGUAUGGCCUUUAGUUCACAAAUCUUAUAGUAAUCUUUGUAGUACUCUUCAUAACACUUCGUUCCAUGUGGAUCACUACAACUUACAAGGCUAGUUUCCUGGGAGAUGUACUCUUUGUGAAUUUCUUUGUAUUUUCGUAAGC